CUUGUCUCAACGCCACAGCUCCUGAACUCUCUCUCUCUCUCUCUCUCCUUGCAGAGAGUACCAGAAAAAUCAAUGGCGAACCUGAAUCUCACGCAGAAUGGUAACUUUUCCUCUCUGGCACCGAUAAUCCCCGCCGCCGGCGACGACAACGGCCGAUCGACGCUGAUCUUUCUCGGCACCGGUUGCUCCAGCGCCGUCCCCAACGCAAUGUGCCUGAUCCAGCCCUCCGAUCCCCCCUGCGCCGUUUGCUCUCAGUCACUCUUCGUCCCACCUGAGAAAAACCCUAAUUACAGGUGCAAUACGUCUCUUUUGAUUGAUUAUUGCCAAAGCGAUGCAAAUCGCAGCUAUAUAUUGAUUGAUGUUGGGAAGACAUUCAGAGAACAAGUUCUUAGAUGGUUCACUCUCUAUAAGAUUCCUAGAGUGGAUUCCAUUGUUUUGACGCAUGAACAUGCGGAUGCAGUCCUUGGUCUGGAUGAUAUACGUGCUGUUCAACCAUUUAGCCCCAGUAAUGAUAUAGAUCCCACUCCGAUUUAUUUAACUGAGUUUGCAAUGGAGAGCCUUGCAGUGAAGUUUCCUUACUUGGUCCAGAAAAAAUUAAAAGAAGGCCAAGAAGUGAGACGAGUAGCACAACUUGAGUGGAAGAUUAUUGAAGGCAACCAUGAGAAAUCAUUUGUUGCAUCAGGCCUGAAGUUUGUUCCUUUGCCAGUGAUACAUGGGGAAGACUAUAUCUGUUUAGGUUUUCUCUUUGGUGAAAAAUGCCGGGUGGCUUAUAUAUCUGAUGUUUCACGCUUUCCUGCGAGCAUAGAGUAUGUAAUUUCAAAAGAUGGGGUUGGACAAGUGGAUUUACUCAUAUUGGACACACUUUAUAAGACGGGAUCUCAUAAUGUCCACCUUUGCCUCCCACAGACUCUUGAAGCUUUGAAGAGGAUACGUCCAAAACAAGCCCUGUUAAUUGGAAUGACUCAUCAAUUUGACCACCACAAAGACAAUGAGUUUCUUGCUGAAUGGUCCAAAAGGGAAGGAAUUCAAGUGCAGCUUGCGCAUGAUGGUUUAAGAGUUCCCAUAGACCUGUAACGAGGUUAGUUGGUUAUUUCACUCCAUGCUGGUGGGUGGAGACCAACCCAAUAUUCUGAGUCAGAUUAUUGAUAGUUUGAUCAUCUCACAAAAGUUUCAAUAUACGAGGAUUAGGUGCCGACGCUAACUCUUGAAAAAUCCAGUACUCCAAAAAGCAUUUUCCUGCUUCAUCCAUUACAAUCAGAACACAGCAAGUUGAGUUGGCCAGCAACCAUCCGAUUGAACAUUGAGAAGGUUUUUUGUGGGAUUAUUUUCUCUUGUAACUCACAAUAUCUAAUGGUGUUAUCAGCUUAUGUGUCAUACUAGAUUAUGAUAAAAGCUUGGUAAGUUAUGCUUUAUAAUAAAUUAUGAAACACCAAGUCAUGUACUAAACCGUUAUAAAAAGCAUGAUAAGUAUA